rnacentral:rRNA from 1 species
CCUACGGGCGGCUGCAGUGGGGAAUAUUGCACAAUGGGCGCAAGCCUGAUGCAGCCAUGCCGCGUGUGUGAAGAAGGCCUUCGGGUUGUGAAGCACUUUCAGCGGGGAGGAAGGCGGUGAGGUUAAUAACCUCAUCGAUUGACGUUACCCGCAGAAGAAGCACCGGCUAACUCCGUGCCAGCAGCCGCGGUAAUACGGAGGGUGCAAGCGUUAAUCGGAAUUACUGGGCGUAAAGCGCACGCAGGCGGUCUGUCAAGGCGGAUGUGAAAUCCCCGGGCUCAACCUGGGAACUGCAUUCGAAACUGGCAGGCUAGAGUCUUGUAGAGGGGGGUAGAAUUCCAGGUGUAGCGGUGAAAUGCGUAGAGAUCUGGAGGAAUACCGGUGGCGAAGGCGGCCCCCUGGACAAAGACUGACGCUCAGGUGCGAAAGCGUGGGGAGCAAACAGGAUUAGAUACCCUUGUAGUC